GCAGCCUGCAACUCGGCUGCAUGAAGCUGGAAUCGCUAGUAAUCGCAGAUCAGAAUGCUGCGGUGAAUACGUUCCCGGGUCUUGUACACACCGCCCGUCACACCACGGAAGUUGGGGCGCCCGAANCCACUUAGCUAACCCAUUUGGGAAGCGAGUGUCGAAGGUGAAAUCAAUAACUGGGGUGAAGUCGUAACAAGGUACC
rnacentral:rRNA from 1 species